rnacentral:lncRNA from 1 species
AUGACUUUGACUCUGUUUUCAGGUUCCUGGGAUUCCUGCUUGUAGGAGCAGGGUGACUUCUGCUUAAGUAUCUGUUUGCAUCACAUUCCUCACCACUCAGGAAAGCUACUACCUAGUGAAGACACUCAGGUAGCCUCCUGUCAAGUCACAGAGAUCUCUUAACAACCAUCUGAGAGAGCUUGGAAGCAGACCAUUGAACCCCAGACAAGCUUUGCGAUGAGACGGCAACCCCAGCUUCCGGCUUGGCUACAGCCUAAGACACCCUGAGCCAGAACCAUCCAGCUAAGCCCCUCGCAGAUUCCCCACCCACGAAA